GAGAAGAUUAUCAAUAAAUUGAGUUUUCAAAAAAAAGUUAAAUAAGUAUAUAUAAGUUUAAUAUUCAAGUUUACAUUAAAUCAUAAGACCUAUUCACAUCAAUAGCUCACCGAACAACAAUUCCGUUUAUAGUUAAAAUCCAAAUUUCAAAAGUAAAGUUGAAUCAAUUCAACAUUUGUCGUGUUACAUAAACCAUACAUAAGAUGGAAUAAACAGUUUAAACUUCUUCAGAUAUAACAUAUUCAGUACAAAUAACAUAAGAUUUUUUAAUACACAUAAAUAAUUUGCAUGUAACCAACAUAAGAUUUCAUAAUACGCAUAUAAAUAAUUUGCAUAUAAACAACAUAAGAAUUCAUAAUACACAUAUAAAUAAUUUGCAUUAUAACAUCAAAAUAGCAGCUUUUAUCACAUACCAAUUUUCACAAGAAAAUUACACGAGAGUUUAUAAUAAUAAAGUUCACAUGAUUAAAAAAAUUGACUUGAAUUUCACAAUAAAGAACUAUGAUUAUUAGUUAGGAUUUAAACAUACAAUUCUGUUGAAAUUAAAAUAAUAUGGAAUAACAUUGAUUCAUAUUGUAAGAAAAGUCAAUACUGUAUGAAACUUAUAAUAUUUUAAUAUAAGCAACGCAGUAUAAAAUACAAAACUGUAUGUUUCUCAUGCAUUGAUUAUUUGGUAAUAUACCAAUUAUAUCCUAUAAGCAAUAGAAAUUAAGCAUUAAUUGACUUUGCUAAUAUCAAAGAGAUUGUUAUAACUAUAAAUAUUUAUGUACGCAAAUUAACGAGACUUAUUUAUAUCAAAGCAAUGAAUCAACUUUAAUCUUGUAAUGAUACGAAGAUAUCUUCAUAUUAAACUAAUGAAGUAACCUUUCACAAAGAAAUAUGCAAAGUGAAAUAAAAAUUUUUUUUAGUUAGACAUGAUACAACGCAAUUAAAUAUAGAUCAAGAAGAUGAUCGAUCAAUCAAAUAAUUAUGAUAUAUUUAAUUAAAUAUCAAUACAUGAGCAAUAUACAACAAUUUUAAUAACUCAAUAUAUAAAUAAUAGAUCUAUUAUUUACAAUUUAAUAUCUCAAUAGUCUUGAGAGAGAAUAUGCUCGAGCAAUUCUUCAUGUAAAUAAAUCUUUGAAUUGCAUGUAAUGAAAGUCAUAUGUAAUUCAGCUUGUAAUUAGAAACAGAAAAUUGUACUUAUCGAUUUUCAGAAGAUUGAUGCUUAAGCCAUCAUAAUGGUGAUUAUAUGCUAAUGAGCCCUGAGAUAAUUCUAAAGACUAGCCAUAUUAACUCGAAGCCUUUAUAGUGACUGAUAUUUGGCCAACACCAGGAGCACACCAGUGUACAAAAGCACAAAAUAUUCAAUGUGACUAUUACUCAAGAGACUGAAUAAUUUCUCGAAUUAUAGAAACAGCCAGUUAAGGCACCACUCAAAAAUACGUAUGUUUACUUCAAAUGUUGGAUGAGAUCUGGUACUUUCGUUACUAACAAACGUGAACAAAAGAAGAAAUCGAAAAGACGACACACUUGGUAAUACUGCAUAACAACAACAAAUUUUGAGACGUGUAAUGUCAGCGCCACAGGCGUCACGUGAUUGAUGCUGUUAGCGCCACCGAAGCGCCGCAUGACCGUCAAUGAUAUGAAAGCACCACAGAAACUUCACAAACGCAAUAUCCGCUCGGCACGAGAGCGCUGCUAGAGCGCUGCCAUUUGUUAAGAUCCACUCAUGCGCGCUAAUUCUCAAUAAAAUAGAUUAACAAAAUAUAAAGUUAUAAUUAUUGCGACAUACAUCUACAGAAUUCGAUCAUUUCUCAAAAUCACCUAAAUUCGCCUAACACUCUUAUCCUUUUUCAAUCGGCUACCGGCAUCGCUUAUCGACAGCGAGUUCGCAUGAACUUAAAAUGAAUCCAUCUCAUUUCAUUCAUGUUUUAAGUUCAUACAUAUUGGUAAUGUAUUAUGACUGAAGAGGACUGAGUAUAGUCGAAACGUUUCUUUAAUACAGUGUUAUUAGUCGCGUUUAUAAUUAUAUAAUGUUUAUCUAAUUAAUUAUAAUGUAUUAAGAAAAUUUGUCUUGGCUCGAUACAUUGACCUGUUUAUCAAAAUAUUUUACUAUAGAAACUUGGCGCCGCUAAACCGAAUAAUUUGUUUUAAUACAAAAUCGCUUUCUUACAAAUUAAUUUAUAUAUUAAAAUAAUACGUAUAACAUCCCAGGUAACACAGAGAUGAACAGAAAUUCCUAAAGAAGUCAUUUUAAAGAAUACUUGGCGAAGUAGAAAAAUGAAUACAUAAAGAAUUCUUGAGGAAUUAGCUACAAUGAGUUCACAUUAAAGUAUUCCUUAAGAGUUCAUCGCAAUGAAUACCUCGCGAUUUAUUAUUUGGAAUAUUUAGAGUAUUCAUAGAGAAGUCAUUUUAAAGAAUACUUGGCGAAGUAGAAAAAUGAAUACAUAAAGAAUUCUUGAGGAAUUAGCCACAAUGAGUUCACAUUGAAGUAUUCCUUAAGAGUUCAUUGCAAUGAAUACCUCGCGAUUGGAAUACUUUGAGUAUUCAUCAGAAAUUACUCGAGUGUUUGGAUAAUCUCGAUUACAUUUUUAUAAUUAUAUAUCGCUUAAUAAAUGCUAAUUUAUACUUUUAUAUACAAAAUGCGCUAUAUAUAAUUAACAAAACAAUAUAUUAGCAAAUAUGUAUGCAUAAACAAGAAGUGUUUAUGGAUCAUCACGAGGCGUUAGGAUGCGUACGGUCUUCGAAGUCAAGCAACGUUGGCAAUGGUUAACACUUGAAUGGGUGACCGUUUUUUCAGGUA
rnacentral:lncRNA from 1 species